rnacentral:rRNA from 1 species
GUGGGGAAUAUUGCACAAUGGGCGCAAGCCUGAUGCAGCCAUGCCGCGUGUGUGAAGAAGGCCUUCGGGUUGUAAAGCACUUUCAGCGGGGAGGAAGGCGUUAAGGUUAAUAACCUUGGCGAUUGACGUUACCCGCAGAAGAAGCACCGGCUAACUCCGUGCCAGCAGCCGCGGUAAUACGGAGGGUGCAAGCGUUAAUCGGAAUUACUGGGCGUAAAGCGCACGCAGGCGGUCUGUCAAGUCGGAUGUGAAAUCCCCGGGCUCAACCUGGGAACUGCAUUCGAAACUGGCAGGCUAGAGUCUUGUAGAGGGGGGUAGAAUUCCAGGUGUAGCGGUGAAAUGCGUAGAGAUCUGGAGGAAUACCGGUGGCGAAGGCGGCCCCCUGGACAAAGACUGACGCUCAGGUGCGAAAGCGUGGGGAGCAAACAGGAUUAGAAACCCGUGUAGUCC